rnacentral:rRNA from 1 species
GCUUAACACAUGCAAGUCGAACGGGCUCUUCGGAGCUAGUGGCGGACGGGUGAGUAACGCGUGAGAAUCUGCCUUCAGGAGGGGGAUAACGACUGGAAACGGGCGCGGAUACCCCAUAUGCCUCCGGGUGAAAAGUAAUUCGCCUGAAGAUGAGCUCGCGUCAGAUUAGCUAGUUGGUGGGGUAAGAGCCUACCAAGGCGACGAUCUGUAGCUGGUCUGAGAGGAUGAUCAGCCACACUGGGACUGAGACACGGCCCAGACUCCUACGGGAGGCAGCAGUGGGGAAUUUUCCGCAAUGGGCGCAAGCCUGACGGAGCAAGACCGCGUGGGGGAUGACGGCCUAAUGGUUGUAAACCCCUUUUCUCUGGGAAGAAGACUGACGGUACCAGAGGAAUCAGCCUCGGCUAACUCCGUGCCAGCAGCCGCGGUAAUACGGAGGAGGCAAGCGUUAUCCGGAAUUAUUGGGCGUAAAGCGUCCGUAGGUGGUUAUUCAAGUCUGCUGUCAAAGCGUGGGGCUUAACUCCAUAGAGGCAGUGGAAAACUGAGUGACUAGAGUGCGGUAGGGGUCGAGGGAAUUCCCAGUGUAGCGGUGAAAUGCGUAGAUAUUGGGAAGAACACCAGUGGCGAAAGCGCUCGACUGGGCCUGCACUGACACUGAGGGACGAAAGCUAGGGGAGCGAAAGGGAUUAGAUACCCCUGUAGUCCUAGCCGUAAACGAUGGAUUACUAGGUGUUGCUCGUCAUCGACCCGAGCAGUGCCGUAGCCAACGGCGUUAAGUAUCCCGC